rnacentral:misc_RNA from 1 species
GCCUGUUCGAGCGUCAUUACAACCUUCAAGCACCGCUUGGCGUUGGGCAUCACCGCCCCGGUGGGCCCCAAAAUCAGUGGCGGAGCGUUCGGUUUCCAGCGUAGUAAAUCUCUCGCUGUGGAGUCGCGACGUCCCCGCCAGCAACCACCAAAUUUUACAAGGUUGACCUCGGAUCAGGUAGGGAUACCCGCUGAACUUAA